rnacentral:rRNA from 1 species
AGAGUUUGAUCCUGGCUCAGGAUGAACGCUAGCGGCAGGCUUAACACAUGCAAGUCGAGGGGCAGCACAGGUAGCAAUACUGGGUGGCGACCGGCGCAAGGGUGCGUAACGCGUGAGCAACAUGCCCGUAUCAGGGGGAUAAUCCAUGGAAACGUGGUCUAAUACCCCAUAGUAAGUUUUUGAGGCAUCUCAAGGAUUUUAAAGCUUUGGUGGAUACGGAUUGGCUCGCGUGACAUUAGCUGGAUGGUAGGGUAACGGCUUACCAUGGCUACGAUGUCUAGGGGUUCUGAGAGGAAGGUCCCCCACACUGGAACUGAGACACGGUCCAGACUCCUACGGGAGGCAGCAGUGAGGAAUUUUCUGCAAUGGGCGAAAGCCUGACAGAGCAAUACCGCGUGGGGGAUGAAGACUUACUGAGUUGUAAACCUCGGUACCCUAAGGAAGAAGAUAUGACGGUACUUAGGGUGGAAAGCAUCGGUAACUCCGUGCCAGCAGCCGCGGUAAGACGGGGGAUGCAAGUGUUAUCGGGAUUUACUGGGCGUAAAGCGUCUGCAGGUGGUUUCUUAAGUCUACUGUUAAAUCUUGAGGCUCAACGUCAAAUCUGCAGUAGAAACUAGGAGACUUGAGUAUAGUAGGGGUAGAGGGAAUUUCCAGUGGAGCGGUGAAAUGCGUAGAUAUUGGAAAGAACACCGAUGGCGAAGGCACUCUACUGGGCUAUUACUGACACUCAGAGACGAAAGCUAGGGGAGCAAAUGGGAUUAGAUACCCCAGUAGUCCUAGCCGUAAACGAUGGAUACUCGAUGUUGGACGUAUCGACCCGUUCAGUAUCUUAGCUAACGCGUUAAGUAUCCCGCCUGGGGAGUACGCUCGCAAGAGUGAAACUCAAAGGAAUUGACGGGGGCCCGCACAAGCGGUGGAGGAUGUGGUUUAAUUCGAAGCAACGCGAAGAACCUUACCAAGUCUUGACAUCCUCCUGACCGGUCCUUAACCGGACCUUUCCUUCGGGACAGGAGAGACAGGUGGUGCAUGGUUGUCGUCAGCUCGUGUCGUGAGAUGUUGGGUUAAGUCCCGCAACGAGCGCAACCCCUAUCCUCAGUAGCCAGCAAGUUAAGUUGGGCACUCUGUGGAGACUGCCAGGGAUAACCUAGAGGAAGGCGGGGAUGACGUCAAAUCAUCAUGCCCCUUAUGAUUUGGGCUACACACGUGCUACAAUGGCGUAAACAAAGGGAAGCGAGAUUGUGAGAUGGAGCAAAUCCCAAAAAUAACGUCCCAGUUCGGACUGUAGUCUGCAACCCGACUACACGAAGCUGGAAUCGCUAGUAAUCGCGGAUCAGAAUGCCGCGGUGAAUACGUUCCCGGGUCUUGUACACACCGCCCGUCACACCAUGGGAGUCAGUAACGCCCGAAGUCAGUGACCUAACUGCAAAGAAGGAGCUGCCGAAGGCGGGACCGAUGACUGGGGUGAAGUCGUAACAAGGUAACC